CACCGCGGUUACACGGAAGACCCUAGUUGAUAGACACGGCGUAAAGGGUGGUUAUGGGACCACGAACAAUAGAGCAAAAGGCCCCUCAGGCCGUCAUACGCACGCAAGAGGCCGAAGUCCUCCCACGAAGGUGGCUCUAGCACACCAGAACCCACGAAAGCCGGGGCA
rnacentral:rRNA from 1 species